UGGAAGUCGAGCGCUUCUUUCCUCCCGAGUGCUUGCACUCAAUUGGAAAGAGGAGUGGCGGACGGGUGAGUAACACGUGGGUAACCUACCCAUCAGAGGGGGAUAACACUUGGAAACAGGUGCUAAUACCGCAUAACAGUUUAUGCCGCAUGGCAUAAGAGUGAAAGGCGCUUUCGGGUGUCGCUGAUGGAUGGACCCGCGGUGCAUUAGCUAGUUGGUGAGGUAACGGCUCACCAAGGCCACGAUGCAUAGCCGACCUGAGAGGGUGAUCGGCCACACUGGGACUGAGACACGGCCCAGACUCCUACGGGAGGCAGCAGUAGGGAAUCUUCGGCAAUGGACGAAAGUCUGACCGAGCAACGCCGCGUGAGUGAAGAAGGUUUUCGGAUCGUAAAACUCUGUUGUUAGAGAAGAACAAGGACGUUAGUAACUGAACGUCCCCUGACGGUAUCUAAGCGAGAAAAGCCACGGCUAAACUACGUGCCAGCAGUCGCGGUAAUACGUAGGUGGCAAGCGUUGUCCGGAUUUAUUGGGCGUAAAGCGAGCGCAGGCGGUUUCUUAAGUCUGAUGUGAAAGCCCCCGGCUCAACCGGGGAGGGUCAUUGGAAACUGGGAGACUUGAGUGCAGAAGAGGAGAGUGGAAUUCCAUGUGUAGCGGUGAAAUGCGUAGAUAUAUGGAGGAACACCGGUGGCGAAGGCGGCUCUCUGGUCUGUAACUGACGCUGAGGCUCGAAAGCGUGGGGAGCAAACAGGAUUAGAUACCCUGGUAGUCCACGCCGUACACGAUGAGUGCUUCGUGUUGGAGGGUUUCCGCCCUUCAGUGCUGCAUUCAAAUGCAUUAAUCACUCCUGCUGCUGGGGAGUACUACCGCUCAGGUUGUAACUCACAGGAUUUGACUGGGGCUCCGCCCAAUCGGUGGAGCACUGUGGUUUAAUUCUAAGCAUUCGCGAAGAACCUGCUACCAGGUCUUGACAUCCUGUUGACCACUCUAGAGAUAGAGCUUUCCCUUCGGGGACAAAGUGACAGGUGGUGCAUGGUUGUCGUCAGCUCGUGUCGUGAGAUGUUGGGUUAAGUCCCGCAACGAGCGCAACCCUUAUUGUUAGUUGCCAUCAUUUAGUUGGGCACUCUAGCGAGACUGCCGGUGACAAACCGGAGGAAGGUGGGGAUGACGUCAAAUCAUCAUGCCCCUUAUGACCUGGGCUACACACGUGCUACAAUGGGAAGUACAACGAGUCGCUAGACCGCGAGGUCAUGCAAAUCUCUUAAAGCUUCUCUCAGUUCGGAUUGCAGGCUGCAACUCGCCUGCAUGAAGCCGGAAUCGCUAGUAAUCGCGGAUCAGCACGCCGCGGUGAAUACGUUCCCGGGCCUUGUACACACCGCCCGUCACACCACGAGAGUUUGUAACACCCGAAGUCGGUGAGGUAACCUUUUUGGAGCCAGCCGCCUAAGUGGA
rnacentral:rRNA from 1 species